CGCGUCCCCAGGUCAGGCAGGGUUACCCACUGAAUUUAA
rnacentral:rRNA from 1 species